AGGGGGCUCCGGCUCCCGCUAUUGGAUGAGCCUAUGUCGGAUUAGCUAGUUGGUGAGGUAAAGGCUCACCAAGGCGACGAUCCGUAGCUGGUCUGAGAGGAUGAUCAGCCACAUCGGGACUGAGACACGGCCCGAACUCCUACGGGCAGGCAGCAGUGGGGAAUAUUGGACAAUGGGGGCAACCCUGAUCCAGCCAUGCCGCGUAUGUGAAGAAGGCCCUCGGGUUGUAAAGCACUUUCAGCGAGGAAGAACGCCUGUCGGUUAAUACCCGGUAGGAAAGACAUCAMUCGCAGAAGAAGCACCGGCUAACUCCGUGCCAGCAGCCGCGGUAAUACGGAGGGUGCAAGCGUUAAUCGGAAUUACUGGGCGUAAAGCGCGCGUAGGUGGCUUGAUAAGCCGGUUGUGAAAGCCCCGGGCUCAACCUGGGAACGGCAUCCGGAACUGUCAGGCUAGAGUGCAGGAGAGGAAGGUAGAAUUCCCGGUGUAGCGGUGAAAUGCGUAGAGAUCGGGAGGAAUACCAGUGGCGAAGGCGGCCUUCUGGACUGACACUGACACUGAGGUGCGAAAGCGUGGGUAGCAAACAGGAUUAGAUACCCUGGUAGUCCACGCCGUAAACGAUGUCGACCAGCCGUUGGGUGCCUAGCGCACUUUGUGGCGAAGUUAACGCGAUAAGUCGACCGCCUGGGGAGUACGGCCGCAAGGUUAAAACUCAAAUGAAUUGACGGGGGCCCGCACAAGCGGUGGAGCAUGUGGUUUAAUUCGAUGCAACGCGAAGAACCUUACCUACCCUUGACAUCUACAGAAGCCGGAAGAGAUUCUGGUGUGCCUUCGGGAACUGUAAGACAGGUGCUGCAUGGCUGUCGUCAGCUCGUGUUGUGAAAUGUUGGGUUAAGUCCCGUAACGAGCGCAACCCUUGUCCUUAUUUGCCAGCACGUAAUGGUGGGAACUCUAAGGAGACUGCCGGUGACAAACCGGAGGAAGGUGGGGACGACGUCAAGUCAUCAUGGCCCUUACGGGUAGGGCUACACACGUGCUACAAUGGCCGGUACAAAGGGCUGCGAGCUCGCGAGAGUCAGCGAAUCCCUUAAAGCCGGUCUCAGUCCGGAUCGGAGUCUGCAACUCGACUCCGUGAAGUCGGAAUCGCUAGUAAUCGUGAAUCAGAAUGUCACGGUGAAUACGUUCCCGGGCCUUGUACACACC
rnacentral:rRNA from 1 species